AUGCUGGUCCUGGUCAGCUGCUCUGGCAAGCGACUCCCGUCCCGUGUUGGUCCAGCUCCGCGUACCCUGUGUCAGUCCGCUGCGAUUUCGCCGCCCGUGUGUCGCCUACGGCCUACGGGCAAGAGUGGAGGCGAUUUGGGGCAGGUGGUGAAGCCACCGACGGUGGCGUCUUCCCUGCCGUCAAGCGAGGGCGGUGGCGGCGGCACAGGUCGGCCUCCCUUCUCCCGUCUCCCCCUUGUCUCUUCCUUCCCUCCUCUCGCAUUUUUGUGGCGCGGCGGCUUGGGAGCAUGUGCGCGGCUGUGGCUAGCGACUAGCGGCGGGAUGGGUGGUCUUCAGGGGCACUGCGUCCGACGGAUUUGGUGGCGCGGUGACCCGGCGAGUUUGGGGUACACCGGUGGCUAG
rnacentral:rRNA from 1 species